UUGACAUUUAGUACUGUUCGACGAUGUAUUAAUUCCCACACGGAUUCGACGAUCAAUCGUAGUAACGAGAGACAACAGAAGGAGAAGACGUAAAACGACGUUUACGUAAGAAGGAUCCGUAAUAGUUUAAGCGAUAGCUUAGACGAAGUUGAACGUUGAUUCCACGGGUUUACGUUGGCAGUAAAUAUGAGAAAUUAACGAAGCUACUACCACAAGGAUCAUCGGUAUGUUUGACUCGGGAGUGUCAAAUUUUACGACAACUUUUAUUGUCUAGUUACUUUCAGACAUACGCGUUAGAGCUUCCUUUAACGAGACUCCGUGUUUCUGAGUUUGCGACUAUGAGAAUGAGAGAACGAGAGAAUGAGAUAGAAAGAGAAAGAGAAUGAGAGAAGUUGGGAGGAGCUCAGAGGUCGGUUAAAUAAACGUCCGUUACGAUGGAAGGAAUCUCUUCUAGCGAAAGAGGUAAAUCCUUCCGUCUCGAUUCUUCCUGCUUUAUCGUCGUCGUUCCCUAUCGAACGCAAAGAUGCGAGAAGAAGAAGGAAGAAGAAGAAGAAGAAGGAAGAGGUGGAAGAGAAGAAGAAGGAAGAGGAAGAAGCGAAGAAGGUGUAAGAGGUGGUGGUUGAGAAGUAGGAUGAGAGGAGGAAGCGAAGGACCUGCCACAAACGACUCUAUCGUAAAUCAAGUCGUAUUAUUAUUGCCGGCAGUACGAGUAUCUCUUAAAGUCGAUUCCUCUACACAGAGA